rnacentral:rRNA from 1 species
GCCGGACUGAGAGGUUGACCGGCCACGUUGGGACUGCGAUACGGCCCAGACUCCUACGGGAGGCAGCAGUGGGGAAUAUUGGGCAAUGGGCGCAAGCCUGACCCAGCAACGCCGCGUGAAGGAAGAAGGCUUUCGGGUUGUAAACUUCUUUUAAGUGGGAAGAGUAGAAGACGGUACCACUUGAAUAAGCCACGGCUAACUACGUGCCAGCAGCCGCGGUAAUACGUAGGUGGCAAGCGUUGUCCGGAUUUACUGGGUGUAAAGGGCGUGCAGCCGGGCAUGCAAGUCAGAUGUGAAAUCUCAGGGCUUAACCCUGAAACUGCAUUUGAAACUGUAUGUCUUGAGUGCCGGAGAGGUAAUCGGAAUUCCUUGUGUAGCGGUGAAAUGCGUAGAUAUAAGGAAGAACACCAGUGGCGAAGGCGGAUUACUGGACGGUAACUGACGGUGAGGCGCGAAAGCGUGGGGAGCGAACAGGAUUAGAUACCCUGGUAGUCCACGCUGUAAACGAUGGAUACUAGGUGUGCGGGGACUGACCCCCUGCGUGCCGCAGUUAACACAAUAAGUAUCCCACCUGGGGAGUACGAUCGCAAGGUUGAAACUCAAAGGAAUUGACGGGGGCCCGCACAAGCGGUGGAUUAUGUGGUUUAAUUCGAAGCAACGCGAAGAACCUUACCAGGUCUUGACAUCCUGCUAACGAAGUAGAGAUACAUUAGGUGCCCUUCGGGGAAAGCAGAGACAGGUGGUGCAUGGUUGUCGUCAGCUCGUGUCGUGAGAUGUUGGGUUAAGUCCCGCAACGAGCGCAACCCCUAUUGUUAGUUGCUACGCAAGAGCACUCUAGCGAGACUGCCGUUGACAAAACGGAGGAAGGUGGGGACGACGUCAAAUCAUCAUGCCCCUUAUGACCUGGGCUACACACGUAAUACAAUGGCGGUCAACAAAGGGAUGCAAAGCCGCGAGGCAGAGCGAACCCCAAAAAGCCGUCCCAGUUCGGAUCGCAGGCUGCAACCCGCCUGCGUGAAGUCGGAAUCGCUAGUAAUCGUGGGUCAGCAUACCACGGUGAAUACGUUCCCGGGCCUUGUACACACCGCCCGUCACUCCAUGAGAGUCGGGAACACCCGAAGUCCGUAGCCUAACCGCAAGGAGGGCGCGGCCGAAGGUGGGUUCGAUAAUUGGGGUGAAGUCGUAACAAGGUAGCCGUUCGAGAACGAGCGGCUG